rnacentral:rRNA from 1 species
CUGGUGUGAAUUGCAGAAUCCCGUGAACCAUCGAGUCUUUGAACGCAAGUUGCGCCCGAAGCCAUUAGGCUGAGGGCACGUCUGCCUGGGUGUCA